CCUACGGGAGGCAGCAGUGGGGAAUUUUGGACAAUGGGCGAAAGCCUGAUCCAGCAAUGCCGCGUGUGUGAAGAAGGCCUGCGGGUUGUAAAGCACUUUCGGUUGGGAAGAAAUUUCUUCAGUUAACACCUGGGGAAUUUGACACUACCUUCAGAAGAAGCACCGGCUAACUCCGUGCCAGCAGCCGCGGUAAU
rnacentral:rRNA from 1 species